UACGGGGGGAGCAAGCGUUGUUCGGAUUUACUGGGCGUAAAGGGCGCGUAGGCGGUCAGCACAAGUCAGUUGUGAAAUCUCCGGGCUUAACUCGGAAAGGUCAACUGAUACUGUGCGACUAGAGUGCGGAAGGGGCAACUGGAAUUCUCGGUGUAGCGGUGAAAUGCGUAGAUAUCGAGAGGAACACCUGCGGCGAAGGCGGGUUGCUGGGCCGACACUGACGCUGACAGCGUGAAAGCCAGGGGAGCAAACGGG
rnacentral:rRNA from 1 species